rnacentral:rRNA from 1 species
GACGAACGCUGGCGGCGUGGAUUAGGCAUGCAAGUCGAACGGUAUGGACCUUUCGGGGUUCAGAGAGUGGCGAACGGGUGAGUAACACGUAGGUAAUCUACCCUCAAGACGGGGACAACCCAGGGAAACUUGGGCUAAUACCGGAUGUGUGUAGUGGCUAUUUUUCUGAUUAUCAUUAUUUACGUAAGUGAGUAAUAAUAAGAAGGGAAAGUGGUUAUUACAUAAAAGGUGGCGUAAGCUGCCGCUUGGGGAUGAGCCUGCGUCCUAUUAGUUAGUUGGUGAGGUAACGGCUUACCAAGGCGAUGAUAGGUAGGCGGCCUUAACGGGUGGUCGCCCCACACCUGGGAUUGAGAUACGGCCCAGGACUCCUACGGGAGGCAGCAGUCGAGAAUAGUCUACAAUGGACGGAAGUCUGAUAGUGCGACGCCGCGUGAACGAGAAUCCCUUCGGGGUGUAAAGUUCUUUUAUACGUGAGCAGUGUCCUUUAUAUUAAUAGUAUAAGGGGAGAGAUAUUAGCGUAUGAAUAAGCAACGG